rnacentral:lncRNA from 10 species
CGUGAGCCACCGUGCCCGGCCAAUUUGUGCUCUUUAAAGAUGAAAUAAAAAAUAGAUUUUUAGAUUUAUUUUCUUUGGAAGUGAAGCCAUGGAUGUUAGAUCCAGCUGGAAGCAAUCUCAUUCAGCUGUGGAGGAAAUUCAAAUAGAACUCAUUGAAUCAAAAUAUAAUGAGGAAUGCAAAUACAAAUUUGAAAAAAGUGAAAUAGCUGAGUGUGGGGAUCAAAAUAACUAAAUUUCUUUUUUCAAUAAUGUGAUCUGAAAUGACAAAACUUCCCAGCUGCUUUGUUUACCUAAGCAAGCCUGGGCAAUGGCGGGCGGCCCUCCCCGAGCCUCGCUGCCGCCUUGCAGUUU